UACCCAAUCCCGAUUCGGGGAGGUAGUGACAAUAAAUAACAAUACAGGGCCAACGGUCUUGUUAUUGGAAUGAGAACAAUUUAAAUAACUUAACGAGGAUCAAUUAGAGGGCAAGUCUGGUGCCAGCAGCCGCGGUAAUUCCAGCUCUAAUAGCGUAUAUUAAAGUUGUUGCAGUUAAAAAGCUCGUAGUCGGAUGUCGGGCUCGGGCAAGCUGUCGGCCUUUGGUCGGACGGCAGGCUCGGGUCUUUCUGCCUGAGGAACCCGGUUGCUUUAACGAGCUGCCGGUGGACGCAGGUCGUUUACUUUGAAAAAAUUAGAGUGUUCAAAGCAGGCUAGCGCUUGAAUACAUUAGCAUGGAAUAAUGGAAUAGGACUUUGGUGCUAUUUUGUUGGUUUAUGGGACCGAAGUAAUGAUUAACAGGGACAGUUGGGGCCGUUUAUAUUUCGUUGUCAGAGGUGAAAUUCUUGGAUUUACGAAAGAUAAACUUCUGCGAAAGCAUUCGGCAAGGAUGUUUUCAUUGAUCAAGAACGAAAGUUAGGGGAUCGAAGACGAUCAGAUACCGUCGUAGUCUUAACCAUAAACUAUGCCGACUAGGGAUCAGUGGAUGUCAAUUUGCGACUCCAUUGGCACCUUGUGAGAAAUCAAAGUUUUUGGGUUCCGGGGGGAGUAUGGUCGCAAGGCUGAAACUUAAAGGAAUUGACGGAAGGGCACCACCAGGAGUGGAGCCUGCGGCUUAAUUUGACUCAACACGGGGAAACUUACCAGGUCCAGACAUAGUAAGGAUUGACAG
rnacentral:rRNA from 1 species